CAUUGAUUAGUGAUUGCUAAAAAAAUGACGAUAAACAUUUUGAAUUACCUUUGAUUUAAAUUAAAUAUUUCGAUUCCUAGGGUGACCAGCUGUUGUUUUGCAAGAAAAUUUUAUCUGUAUGAACAUUUUAACCAAUUCAAAAUUUGUUAAUACAGAUCAGAUGGUCACUAUAUUUAUUUGGUUUCAGUAAUCUCCUGAAAUUUUUCAAGCAAGCUGCAAUUCUAAUCAAGUCUUUAGGUAAAUCUCUGUAUAUUCGGCACAUCAGUCUGAAAAACGAACUUCGUAUAUUCAUACUUAUUUUUAUAAACAUCAUGAAAUUCUUCGUAAUAAUCCUAUAUUUUUGUAUCGUGCUAACAUUUUGUUCAAUUUAUACUGAGAGUGCAGUUAAUCCCAGAUGUUUGGUUGUUGCUAAUUGUGCAGCUGAUGCUGGCCCUGUUUACGCUUCUACCAAUGGAGGCAAUACUUGUGAAAAAUUUAUGAAUGUAUGUACUUAUAUGGACGAAUGGUGCAAGCAUGAUGAACAUGGUUUACCUGAAUUAAAAGAGGUCUCUAAGGAUAAAUGUAAAACUGUGAAUGAGCAUAAAUUUUGAAAACAUAUUUAUUUCUAAAAACAUUUCAAUUUUUGAUGAAAACUUUUUGCUACUCAAAGAAAUUGCUUGUUCUUUUAAAUAUUCAUAAAUAAAGAUUUUUUAACAGCAUUUA